rnacentral:misc_RNA from 1 species
UGGCUCUGGCAUCGAUGAAGAACGCAGCGAAAUGCGAUAAGUAAUGUGAAUUGCAGAAUUCAGUGAAUCAUCGAAUCUUUGAACGCACAUUGCGCCCGCCAGUAUUCUGGCGGGCAUGCCUGUUCGAGCGUCAUUUCAACCCUCAAGCCCCAGCGGCUUGGUGUUGGGGACCGGCCCCGCGCCGCCCCCGAAAUGCAGUGGCGACCUCGCCGCAGCCUCCCCUGCGUAGUAGCACAACCUCGCACCGGAGCGCGGAGACGGUCACGCCGUAAAACGCCCAACUUUCUUAGAGUUGACCUCGGAUCAGGUAGGAAUACCCGCUGA